AUGUCUGGCAGGUUUUGAGACCCAGAGUCCAAGAGCAGGACCCCAAACCCAUGUUAAUUCAAUAACCUGGACAUUCUGGCCAAAGCGACGAUGGCCAUCGGCGAUGGCUGGCUUGCUAAGCGUAUGAUUAACGUCCGUUUUGAUGACACAGUCAACAUGGAAUCAUGCAGCCAAGAAGGAGGUACAGCUAUAUACAUAUAUGUACACACAUAGAAAUAUGUGCAGGAGCAGGAGGAUCUCAUCUGCAUUGUUUGUUUGCGUGGAACAUUUGCAUGCAACAAUCUCAACCGGUUGGAAUUGGCGGCACUUGCGGCAAGCAUGUGUUCAUUUCGUACGAGCCACUCGUAUCUUGGUAGCUUUCGCAGUAGAGAUGACAGCGGACACGGGUGCAACACAACAUCACGCACGAGGAGGUUGCAACAUCAAAGAUAUACCCAUUAAGUGGUACGGAUGCAUCUUCUAUAUAAGCAUUGGCAUAAUUCCUAUAAAAUAUAUCUACAUUUAAAAUUCUAAUGCGU
ensembl:ncRNA lncRNA:CR45866 long non-coding RNA:CR45866